CGGUAAUACGGAGGAUCCAAGCGUUAUCCGGAAUCAUUGGGUUUAAAGGGUCCGUAGGCGGUCAGAUAAGUCAGUGGUGAAAGCCCAUCGCUCAACGGUGGAACGGCCAUUGAUACUGUCUGACUUGAAUUAUUAGGAAGUAACUAGAAUAUGUAGUGUAGCGGUGAAAUGCUUAGAGAUUACAUGGAAUACCAAUUGCGAAGGCAGGUUAUCACUAAUUGAUUGACGCUGAUGGACAAAAACGUGGGUAGCGAACAGGAUUAGAUACCCCGGUAGUCCACGCCGUAAACGAUGGAUACUAGCUGUUGGGAGCAAUUUCAGUGGCUAAGCGAAAGUGAUAAGUAUCCCACCUGGGGAGUACGAACGCAAGUUUGAA
rnacentral:rRNA from 1 species